GACAGAGGAUGCAAGCGUUAUCCGGAAUGAUUGGGCGUAAAGCGUCUGUAGGUGGCUUUUCAAGUCCGCCGUCAAAUCCCAGGGCUCAACCCUGGACAGGCGGUGGAAACUACCAAGCUGGAGGACGGUAGGGGCAGAGGGAAUUUCCGGUGGAGCGGUGAAAUGCAUUGAGAUCGGAAAGAACACCAAAGGCGAAAGCGCUCUGCUGGGCCGACACUGACGCUGAGAGACGAAAGCUAGGGGAGCAAAUGGG
rnacentral:rRNA from 1 species